GAUGAACGCUGGCGGCGUGCUUAACACAUGCCAGUCGAACGGGAAACCUUUUAUUGAAGCUUCGGCAGAUUUAGCUGGUUUCUAGUGGCGGACGGGUGAGUAACGCGUGGGUAACCUGCCUUAUACAGGGGGAUAACAACCAGAAAUGGUUGCUAAUACCGCAUAAGCGCACAGGACCGCAUGGUCCGGUGUGAAAAACUCCGGUGGUAUAAGAUGGACCCGCGUUGGAUUAGCUAGUUGGCAGGGUAACGGCCUACCAAGGCGACGAUCCAUAGCCGGCCUGAGAGGGUGAACGGCCACAUUGGGACUGAGACACGGCCCAGACUCCUACGGGAGGCAGCAGUGGGGAAUAUUGCACAAUGGGGGAAACCCUGAUGCAGCGACGCCGCGUGAAGGAAGAAGUAUCUCGGUAUGUAAACUUCUAUCAGCAGGGAAGAUAGUGACGCUACCUGACUAAGAAGCCCCGGCUAACUACGUG
rnacentral:rRNA from 1 species